rnacentral:rRNA from 1 species
UACAGAGGUCUCAAGCGUUGUUCGGAUUCAUUGGGCGUAAAGGGUGCGUAGGUGGCGGGGCAAGUUUGGUGCGAAAUCCUAGGGCUCAACCCUGGAACUGCACUGAAUACUGCUUUGCUAGAGUACUGGAGAGGGAACUGGAAUUUACGGUGUAGCAGUGAAAUGCGUAGAUAUCGUAAGGAAGACCAGUGGCGAAGGCGAGUUCCUGGACAGUUACUGACACUGAGGCACGAAGGCCAGGGGAGCAAACGGG